UACGUAGGGGGCAAGCGCUAUCCGGAUUUACUGGGUGUAAAGGGGGCGCAGACGGCGAUGCAAGCCAGGAGUGAAAGCCCGGGGCCCAACCCCGGGACUGCUCUUGGAACUGCGUGGCUGGAGUGCAGGAGGGGCAGGCGGAAUUCCUGGUGUAGCGGUGAAAUGCGUAGAUGUCAGGAGGAACACCGGUGGCGAAGGCGGCCUGCUGGACUGCAACUGACGUUGAGGCCCGAAAGCGUGGGGAGCAAACAGG
rnacentral:rRNA from 1 species